GGUAGCAUGGACGAGUGGUUUAAGUCGACAGAUUUAAGUCCUGUUGCCGUUAUGGCGCGUGGGUUCGAACCCCACUGCUACCA
rnacentral:tRNA from 1 species